UACGGGGGGGGCAAGCGUUGUUCGGAAUUACUGGGCGUAAAGGGCUCGUAGGUGGCCAACUAAGUCAGACGUGAAAUCCCUCGGCUUAACCGGGGAACUGCGUCUGAUACUGGAUGGCUAGAGAUUGGGAGAGGGAUGCGGAAUUCCAGGUGUAGCGGUGAAAUGCGUAGAUAUCUGGAGGAACACCGGUGGCGAAGGCGGCAGUCCUGGACCAACACUGACGCUGAGGAGCGAAAGCCAGGGGAGCAAACGGGG
rnacentral:rRNA from 1 species